rnacentral:misc_RNA from 1 species
UCUCCGUGGUGAACCAGCGGAGGGAUCAUUACCGAGUGCAAACUCAUAACCCUUUGUGAACCUAUAUCUGUUGCUUCGGCGGCUCGCUCUCGGGCGAGCCCGCCGGUAAUAUCAGUAUCUCUGUUUGAACCCGACGAUACUUCUGAGUGUUCUUAGCGAACAGUUAAAACUUUUAACAACGGAUCUCUUGGCUCUA